rnacentral:lncRNA from 1 species
AGCUUUUUGGUGUUGGUGCUUCCAUGGCUGAGUUAUGAUGGUCUAAACUUAUGUUGGGACUAUGGGGUUUAAGCAAGUUCAACUUGAAUCAGAUGAUCAGGAAGUUCUAAAUCUCAUUUUACCCUCUUCAAACAUUUUAUCUCCCAUGUCUAAUUUAAUUCCUGCUUGCAGCGAUUCAGUCAGUACCUCGGGAAGCAAACCAGUCUGCUGAUUGCCUAGCAAAGAACUCCUACCAACAAGACGAGCUGUAUAAAGUCCAUGCUGAUCCCCCUAUUCUUGUUCACUCAUUUUUGGAAAAAGACUAGAGGGAGAGCCACCCCUCGUUGUGUUGCCAUGCUCAGGACAAGGCUCAUGAAUAAUCUCUAGCAUUUAUAGCAG